rnacentral:lncRNA from 1 species
CGUUUUCAUAUUCCACAUAGGCCAGGCCCUUGGGUUUUCCAGCUCGGUUGGUGACCAGUCUAAUGUCUUUCACAUUCCCAUGGGCUUUACAUAUAUCUUCCAGCUCUUCCUUAGUGCAGGAAAAUGGCAAACCAGAUAUAAACAGUUUGUGCUUCUCCAGCGUGGUACUAUACCUGAACACCUUAAAGUCUGGAUUCUUGUUCUUGUCAACACAAGGAGAAACAAACAUGGGUCUCCCCUCCACAACUUUACGAUCCAUGCCAAGAGCCUGGAGAGCAGACUUCUCAUCCUUGAACUCUACAUAGCAGUAGCCUCGGAAAGUCCCCUUGUUGCUGAAUACUGGACGGACUUGUG